rnacentral:rRNA from 1 species
GCAUAUCAAUAAGCGGAGGAAAAGAAACCAACAGGGAUUGCCCUAGUAACGGCGAGUGAAGCGGCAACAGCUCAAAUUUGAAAUCUGGCCUUCGGGUCCGAGUUGUAAUUUGUAGAGGAUGCUUUUGGUGAGGUACCUUCCGAGUUCCCUGGAACGGGACGCCAUAGAGGGUGAGAGCCCCGUCUGGUCGGAUACCGAUCCUCUGUAAAGCUCCUUCGACGAGUCGAGUAGUUUGGGAAUGCUGCUCUAAAUGGGAGGUAUAUGUCUUCUAAAGCUAAAUAUUGGCCAGAGACCGAUAGCGCACAAGUAGAGUGAUCGAAAGAUGAAAAGCACUUUGAAAAGAGAGUUAAAAAGUACGUGAAAUUGUUGAAAGGGAAGCGCUCAUGACCAGACUUGGGCUUGGUUGAUCAUCCAGGGUUCUCCCUGGUGCACUCUUCCAGCCCAGGCCAGCAUCAGUUCGCUGUGGGGGAUAAAGGCUUCGGGAAUGUGGCUCCUCCGGGAGUGUUAUAGCCCGCUGCGUAAUACCCUGUGGUGGACUGAGGUUCGCGCAUCUGCAAGGAUGCUGGCGUAAUGGUCAUCAGCGACCCGUCUUGAAACACGGACC